rnacentral:sRNA from 1 species
AUCUGUAACACAGCAGCAUUCCCAGGAAGGACAUACCCAUAGAGAGAACGUUCCAAGUAGAAUUUUUAAGUAUUUUGCUAUAUGAGAUCCACACUCUUUACAGAUAUAAACUCAAGCAAAGAAUAUCUGUGUGCAGAGGAGUGGCAAGCAUGGGGACUGUGGGAUUAAAAGAAAAUGGACCAAUUGAAAAAUGGUUCAUGAAAAAUUAUUUGGCUAUUCCAGCUGGGAAAUUCCAGAGAAUGGUCCUGAUCAAAGUCCAUCUCUUGGUCAGUAUUUAACAUUUAAUAAAGCUCUCUUUAAGUUUGCCCUCCAACAAUUGUUUACUUAUUCAUACUUAUUUUUGUGUUUUUAUAAUAGCUUUGUGUGUAUGUGUGUGUAUUUGGCACACACAUGUCAUAGCAUGUGUAUGACGUUCAGAACACAACUUUGUGAAGUCAGUUUUCUUGUUCUACCUUUAUGUGGGUUUUGAGAAUUGAACAGAGGUUGGCAAGCUUGCCUAAUAAGCACUGAGCUAACUUGCAGGUCCCAAUUCACCCACAUUUUAAAAUAUUGGUGCAAUUAGCUACAUUUCCCAAUUUAUUAUCUCUGCUAUCUGUCUUGGGUUCUGUUGCUGUGAUAAAACACUGGCAGGAAGCAAUUUGGGGGAGAAAAGGUUUAUACCAUUUUACAUGUUAUAGUUCCUUAUCGAGGGAAGUCAACGCAGGAACUCAGAGACAGGAACUGAAGCAGAGACCACUGAGAAACCCUGCUGGCUGGCUUGCUUCCAGGCUCACACUCAGCUAAGGUCUCUGUGCCUCCCAGCACCACUUGCCCUGGGGUGAUACUGUCCACAGUGAGCUGGGCCCCCCUGCAUCAACCAAGGAAAUGCCACACAGACAUGCCUACCGGCCAGUCUGACAGAAAUACUUCCUCAGCAGACUCAAGUUUACGUCAAGUUGACGAUCUAACCAGCACAUGGUCCUUGCCACUUUUUCACUGAAACAAUGGAUUUUAUUCUACUCAUCUUGUUAGAGGCCCAGGGUUACCCCUAAAGAAUCAUUUUCAACUUAACGAGAAAGGACAUUCCAUUUUAUACCUUUAACGUCCUUGUUAAUAAAAUAGCAAGCAUGUUACUCUAGAGACCUGCUAAAGAGUGGAUUUUUCUGUUUAUGUAAAUGGGUGUGAUGGGACUUGUGUAACCAAAUGUGUCUGUGUCUGUGUAGAGACAACUUCUGUUGGUUUCUCCUAGCAUCUGCACAUUUGUUUCUCUGCUUGUCUUGGUCAACAGGAUGAUGGACUCAACUCUGUGACUCAAAAGCUGCUUCUGAUACUGAAAGCAUCAAGGGAACUUCAACAUGGCUGUGGCCAUGGUUCAUAUCAAUCAGUUUUUUGGAGUGGUUCUUGGCAGGAGAGCUUGGUAGGUAGGUUUCUUGCCUCUGGUAAGGAGCUACCCAGAUCGUGUAAGUGUGUGUGCUUUUCUCUGAGUCAAGUGUUAGUAAGAAGAAAAGGGUGAGAACAUGUGUGAUUUUCAGAGAGAGAACUCGGGGUGGUCAAGAUAUGCUUCCCUGCCCCCCCCCCAUUCACAGGCAGCAAAAAGGAAAAGUAGCUCUCUCUCUCUCUCUCUCUCUCUCUCUCUCUCUCUCUCUCUCUCUCCCUUAUUUUUAAAGAACAAGACAGUAAGUUACAGUGGAAUUGGCUACAGAUUCAGAGUUCAGAAAACUUGCAGGAGGUGGGAGGGACUUGUCAUAGUUCUGCCACAACCAAGUGGUGAUUCUGGACAAAAACGAAUUAACUUCUCUGUCAGUUUCUUCACGUGCAAAUGGAUAAGAAUGGCUCCCAUAGACUCAUAUAUUUUAAUGUUUGGUCACCAGGAAGUGGCACUGUUUGAAAGGAUUAGAAUGAAUGGGGUGUGGGGAGGAAAUAUGUGGGCUGUGAGGUUUCAAAGGCCCCCACCAGGUCCAAUGUCUUUGCUUGCAGACCAGGCUGCAGCUCUCAGCUCCUUCUCCAGCACCAUACUCGCAUGUCGCCGUGCUCUCUGCCAUGAUGAUAAUCAAACACUUUCUUUUGUAAGAGUUGCCUUGGUCACAACAACAGAGUAGUGACUAAGACAAAGGGAUAGGGUAGAAGAUUACUUAGGUCUCUUUCGGAUCUGAAAGUUGAUGUCUGGAACCAGAUUCUUUAUAAUGAAACCAUUGAUGAUAAUUUGUAAAACAACACCACUAAUCUAUUAAUUUCGUUCUACAGGGCCUACGGUCAUGCUUAUGAUUCAGCCAGGAUGGUCACCUUGACUCUAAUUUCAUAACUGACACAUUCUCUUGCCCAGAGGCCCAGAGAUGCACCUUUCAAUUUUUUGACAAUUUAUUCAGCAUUGUGGUGCACACUCUUUUUCUUCUCACUGUUCUUAGGUAAAAGUGUAUAUACAGGCAAGAGCUGUUUAUCCUCAAUAUUUCAUGCCACGAGUCAGGGUAUAUGGAUUUUUAAACUCUUCACGUAUCUUAAUGGCUUUAUUGGUAUAUUCAUAUGCUUCAAAAUUUAUAAUUAGAGUAUAUAAUCAAACCACUUCAGUACAUUAAAGCAUGUAAGUAACUAUUGCCACAAUCAAAUUUUUUUUUCUUUUUUUCGGAGCUGGGGACAGAACCCAGGACCUUGCUCUACCACUGAGCUAAAUCCCCAACCCUGCCACAAUCAAAUUUAAAACCCCAAAAACACCUCUAAAAGAAACCUGUAUCCUUUAGCAGUCUUUCUCCAUGGCUUACCACAUCCUCUCCCAAGCACAGCCUAAGAUGGUCUUAUUCAGCCCAGCCCGACCUUGGAGGAGCUAGUGGCUUAGGACAACCUCGAACCUUUGGCCUUUCUAUCUCCGCAUCCCAGUCUGGAUCACAGUUUCUUCCCUGCAUUCAUCCUUGCUCAAUAGGCCAGCAGCAUUGAGGACCCUCACUUCUCACUCCCUCCUGGUCGACACCUCAGGACAACAACCAGCUUACCUCCACAGAAGGAGAUCCCUGAGACACUGAGGGCUGUGGAUUUUGUUCAGUAAAAACCCCGUUCACCAAGAACAGUGUCUGACUGAAGAAGGCUAGGGGUAAGUAUUUGUUGAGAGAAUGCUGCACACCCUGGCCUCUAAGUUCUCUCCUAGGUCCUUACAUGCCAGAAAAAGUGUGACUAUUCACCAUUAGGCUCUAUAUCAGCCACUAUCUACUUUAAGUCCUCACUUGGUCUUGUCCAAAGAGCUGAGAAGAAAUAUCUGCUAUAAUUCUUAACUAGAAGCAAUUGUUACCAUAUAUGACUUGAUUUUUCUCUAAUAUUCUGCAUUAUCUGUUUGUUAACAUCUUAUAUAUAGUUUGUGUUCUUUCAAUCAAGUGAACACGGUACUAAAACUUAUUUUAUAAACCUCCUGUCUCAGCAUUUGACUUCCAUUACAGGGAGCAUCAGCCAGGGCACCCCUUUAUUCCCUAAUGCCCUGUUCCUCACACUGUGUUUUAAUAAUCCCAGCUUCCUUCCAGGACCCAGAUACAGGGAAUGACUAUAGCCAUAUUUAGCUAAGGACUGGUGUCUAUACUGCUGUUUUCUAAUCUCCUAAUCAAUGAUGCUCAAAAAUGAGUGUCUUGUGCUUAAGAGCUGAGCUUGGGAGACAGAUAGACUUGAAUUCAAACUUUGGGCCCACCUCUUAGUAAGUGGGCGACAUUUAUGGGUUUUAAAAACUCCCCACGGGGCUGGGGAUUUAGCUCAGUGGUAGAGCACUUACCUAGGAAGCGCAAGGCCCUGGGUUCGGUC